UGGGGAAUAUUGGGCAAUGGGCGCAAGCCUGACCCAGCAACGCCGCGUGAGGGAAGAAGGUUUUCGGAUCGUAAACCUCUGUUGUAGGGGACGAGGAAAAGACGGUACCCUACGAGGAAGCUCCGGCUAACUACGUGCCAGCAGCCGCGGUAAUACGUAGGGGGCGAGCGUUGUCCGGAAUGACUGGGCGUAAAGGGCGUGUAGGCGGCUGAUUAAGUCUGGAGUGAAAGUCCUGCUUUCAAGGUGGGAAUUGCUUUGGAGACUGGUCGGCUUGAGUGCGGAAGAGGUAAGUGGAAUUCCCAGUGUAGCGGUGAAAUGCGUAGAGAUUGGGAGGAACACCAGUGGCGAAGGCGACUUACUGGGCCGUAACUGACGCUGAGGCGCGAAAGCGUGGGGAGCGAACAGGAUUAGAUACCCUGGUAGU
rnacentral:rRNA from 1 species